rnacentral:rRNA from 1 species
CAAUAGCGUAUAUUAAAGUUGUUGCGGUUAAAAAGCUCGUAGUUGGAUUUCUGCUUGGGACAACCGGUCCGCCCUCUGGGUGAGUAUCUGGCUUGGCCCGGGCAUCUUCUUGGGGAACGUUACUGCACUUGACUGUGUGGUGCGGAGCCCAGGACCUUUACUUUGAGGAAAUUAGAGUGUUUCAAGCAGGCAUUUGCCUUGAAUACAUUAGCAUGGAAUAAUACUAUAGGAUCUUGGUUCUAUUUUGUUGGUUUCUAGGGCUAAGAUAAUAAUCAAUAGGGACAAUUGGGGGCAUUCGUAUUACGGCGUCAGAGGUGAAAUUCUUGGAUUGCCGUACGACGAACUACUGCGAAAGCAUUUGCCAAGGAUGUUUUCAUUGAUCAAGAACGAAAGUAAGGGGAUCGAAGAUGAUCAGAUACCGU